rnacentral:rRNA from 1 species
GACGAACGCUGGCGGCGUGCUUAACACAUGCAAGUCGAACGGAAAGGCCCUGCUUUUGUGGGGUGCUCGAGUGGCGAACGGGUGAGUAACACGUGAGUAACCUGCCCUUGACUUUGGGAUAACUUCAGGAAACUGGGGCUAAUACCGGAUAGGAGCUCCUGCUGCAUGGUGGGGGUUGGAAAGUUUCGGCGGUUGGGGAUGGACUCGCGGCUUAUCAGCUUGUUGGUGGGGUAGUGGCUUACCAAGGCUUUGACGGGUAGCCGGCCUGGGAGGGUGACCGGCCACAUUGGGACUGGGCUACGGCCCAGACUCCUACGGGAGGCAGCAGUGGGGAAUAUUGCACAAUGGGCUGAAGCCUGAUGCAGCACCGCCGCGUGCGGGAUGUCGGCAUUCGGGUUGUAAACCGCUUUCGCCUGUGCCGAAGCGUGAGUGACGGUAAUGGGUAAAGAAGCACCGGCUAACUACGUG